UCUGCAUGUGUCCUGAAGGAGUGAUAUACUUUACCGUAAUUAGUACCACCGGAACCAGUUAAUACGUCUAUGUUAUACUCCCCUGCUGCUUAUUUUUAUAAGUGAGGAUUGAACACGAAUUUUCUUUGGCCUUUGUAUUCUUAUCAUACUUUUCAUUUCACAUUUUCUCGUUAUUUGUGAAGGAUGACAACUACGAAGUACUAAGUAAUAUUGUAGCGGCUGUGCUCUUUAGUAUGGCAUCAGAACAACUAGAUUGUCAGUCAUGGACUGUUUUCUUUAUCAUUUUUUCCUACUUGCUCACUAAACAAUGCAUCGAUGUUCGGUUUCUUUCCCAAUUAUGUCCAUUCGUUGCUAAUCCAUGAAUUAUGUUACGUGCAGUAUACUUUCUAGAAGUUUGACGCUGCCCAUUUUUGUCAUUUAAGUAUAUUGUUAUGUUCCUGUAGUAACCAUUUGGGACUCGGAUACAAAGUAUUUGACCUGGGCGGUUGGAUUACAGGGACAUGUAUCUUACUUGCAUUAUGCAGCCUAUACCGUGCUUGUGUCAUGGCAGUAUUAAGCCCUCCAUCAAUAUUUUCUUAAAAUAUAUAUGGAAUCAACUUAUUAUAAGAAGUUACUUUGAAAAUAAAACAUAUGGAUAUGAAAUGGCUAAUUUAGUUUUACUGAUUCACAGUAAGUGAUUCACUACUUACUUUAUCUGGUGUCCAUGUUUUUCUUUGUUUUGGGGUGGUGUGCCACCCCGGUGAGAGCCAACUAGAAGAAUAGGAAGCAAAAAAGAGAGGUGAGGAGGACUUGUGUACACAUGAUUAGGUGGGUCAUGGAUUUGUGUAGCUAGCUAGCUAGCAUGGCUAAUCUUAUGUGGCUGAUGCGCAAAUAGAUCGAGUGUCACUUUAAAUUUUCUCCACCUAAUGAUUUUCUUAUUAGUUCCUUCUGAAUACUUAGCCAAGCAUUGUUUCAUUCAUGUGAAACUCAAGAUUUGAUAGUGGCAGCCUGAAAGAGAUAGUGGUGCACGUACAUAUCUCACAAUUUGAUAAAUAGUUAAAUUCCCUAUAUUUUAGUAUUUCUUUCUUAUUCCUAUUUCUGGUGACUAAAUUGAACUUCUAUCCUUUUGUUCCCAGAGUUCUUGAUGGAAUCAGCACUCAGUUACACGAAUCUGUUUUAAUUUGUAAGGAUUUGAAGGGGCUUUUACCAUUUCCAUCUAUUUUAACUGCAAGUAUAUUCAGCUGUAGUUUUUAUUUCAGUCUGCAAAAACUGGCGUCAGUCAUGCUCUUGAAAUCAUUACCACGAGUUAUAUCUGUUGAUUUCUCAUAGUUUAUGUGUUUCUCAGAGCUUGUGGGAGAACCCAGACGUUCUCUGCGCUCGUUUGAUAGUCGAUUGACAAGGUAUAUCUGUUUAAACCUACUUGGAACCUGCAAAAUUUGAUGGCAGUUUUGUUGUUCUAAGUGAUGAUCUUGCUGCUACCUCGAGCAAAUCAACUGAAGGUUUGGUGGCAGGUGAAGAAGAGCCCUCCAGCUAAAAAGGCCAAGCUUUAGAUCAAACAUCCUUGGGCAACCUACUCUUUUGGAUCAUAAUGUGUUAGGUACGUGCCUGUUGGAAAUGCUGAUCUAGCGAUGGGCCAUAUUAGUCACACCUCUCUUAGAGUUCACAACUCGAUGUGUCUUGACCCAAACCCUAGCUCAGUUCAAUCGACGCCUGGUCAAUUGAACAAAAUGUAACCGUGCCUCUCUUUCUUUUUGAUUGUUUUUUGCUGCUGCUUACUUACUCUCUUCUCGUAGGUUAUGCCCUUGAUGGCGCCGCCUUUUGUCGACCUGACUGGCAUUUCCUCGACCAUGUGGAACCAACAAAUCUACCUUACCUCUCCUGUGAUGCUUUCUAUGUUGUGGUUUCCUUGUAUUACAUAAGGGAAAGCGCUUACUUAAUCACCUUGCCUGACUUUCAAUUAACACUGUCUAAUUAGUUUUCUCAUUAUAAUUACCCAGCGCUGCUUGGCCUAUAUGCCCUUUUGAUUCUGAUUAGCCUUUCCUUAAAGUUCAAGAUAAUA